CGGAGGGAGCUAGCGUUGUUCGGAAUUACUGGGCGUAAAGCGCACGUAGGCGGCUUUGUAAGUUAGGGUGAAAGCCUGGAGCUCAACUUCAGAAUUGCCCUUAAGACUGCAUCGCUUGAAUCCAGGAGAGGUGAGUGGAAUUCCGAGUGUAGAGGUGAAAUUCGUAGAUAUUCGGAAGAACACCAGUGGCGAAGGCGGCUCACUGGACUGGUAUUGACGCUGAGGUGCGAAAGCGUGGGAGCAAGCAGGAUUAGAUACCCUGGUAGUCCACGCCGUAAACGAUGAUAACUAGCUGUCAGGGGUCUUAGACUUUUGGUGGCGCAGCUAACGCAUUAAGUUAUCCGCCUGGGGAGUACGGCCGCAAGGUUA
rnacentral:rRNA from 1 species